UGGAGGCAGCAGUGGGGAAUCUUGCGCAAUGGGCGAAAGCCUGACGCAGCAACGCCGCGUGAGCGAAGACGGCCUUCGGGUUGUAAAGCUCUGUCAGGAGGGACGAAGCCACUCAGGUGAAUAGCCGAGAGGGUGACGGUACCUCCAGAGGAAGCCCCGGCUAACUACGUGCCAGCAGCCGCGGUAAUACGUAGGGGGCAAGCGUUGUCCGGAAUCAUUGGGCGUAAAGCGCGUGUAGGCGGCCAUCCAAGUCCGAUGUGAAAGCUCGGGGCUCAACCCCGAGUCUGCAUUGGAAACUGGAUGGCUUGAGUCCGGAAGAGGAGACUGGAAUUCCUGGUGUAGCGGUGAAAUGCGCAGAUAUCAGGAAGAACACCGGUGGCGAAGGCGGGUCUCUGGGACGGUACUGACGCUGAGACGCGAAAGCGUGGGGAGCAAACAGGAUUAGAUACCCGGGUAGUCCC
rnacentral:rRNA from 1 species